UACGAAGGGUGCAAGCGUUGCUCGGAAUCACUGGGCGUAAAGCGAACGCAGGCGGAUGGGAAAGUUGGAUGUGAAAGCCCGGGGCUCAACCCCGGAACUGCAUUCAAAACUAUCCAUCUUGAAUACGAGAGAGGAGUGUGGAAUUCCUGGUGUAGGGGUGAAAUCCGUAGAUAUCAGGAGGAACAUCAGUGGCGAAAGCGACACUCUGGCUCGAUAUUGACGCUCAUGUUCGAAAGCGUGGGGAGCAAACAGG
rnacentral:rRNA from 1 species